CCAAAAUAGCACUGAUAGUGGAUCCGCGCCUGAAUAAUGUGUGCUCGACACCGGACAAACGAAUAAAUGGCUAGAUGCGGUCUUUAUGAUCAGGUCGGAGUUUUCGGAUGGUUGAAAAUGUUAUAACUUUUUCAUAAUUCUCGCCCAAACAUAGCCUCAUCUUUGGAACUGGAAUCUCCUCUUUGUUUUUUAAACCCAGCGUCAGUUUAUAGUCUGCUAAAAUGGUGCCUUUCUACUAAAAUUCGGUUAUAGACGAAAUAACAGUAAGUAAACUUGCGUCUAAAAGACAAAAAAAACGUAUUUAGUGAAAAGACAUGAGUUGUAAUAUAGAAAGUUAAUAAUAAACCGACUAUAGCAGGUUUGUGCAAAGACGGAUGGCUGGAAAAACUGGAAAGGCGCAAUGUGGCGUCUUUCGCCACAAAGUGCUCGUUUCUGUAAAGUUCUGACUUUUCCCAACGUGAAUGAACACGCAGUGCCUUAUUGGAGGUGUCUUUUAGUCAACGUUAUGGAUGAGGGUCUUCGUUUGAGAUUCCGAUACGGAAUGGACAAAACGGACUUCUCCAAUUAUCAGCUGAACAUCUGAUCUUCUGCUGGGGAAUUUCGAGGUGUUCGCUUGCAAUCUGAGGGAUGUUAUGCGUCCAGUGUGUCCUGGGGCGGUCAUUGCGUCAAAUGGCUGGUCUAUAUCAGGAGGGCUGCGGCUCUUCUGUCUGGACGGCUGGUUGGUGUAGACGGACGCACACAAUGUGGAGAAAAAAACACCGUGAUGUUCCAACAAUGAUGGAUGCAUUAAAAGCCA